rnacentral:lncRNA from 1 species
UUUCGUCCAUUUUUCACUUUUGGCUAAACCUGAACCCGUUAAAAUGGAAGAAGCUUUAAUUGAUCCAAAUGGAUUUGUGUUAUGAAGGAGGAACUGGAAUCUAUUGAGGAGAACAAUAAUUAGGAAUUGGUUGAUCUAUCGGACGGGAAGAAGCCAAUUGGUGUGACAUGGGUGUUCAAGGUGAAGGCAAAUUACAAGGGUGAAAUAAUC